AGCGAACGCUGGCGGCAUGCCUAACACAUGCAAGUCGCACGGGGGGGCUUCGGCCUCCCAGUGGCGGACGGGUGAGGAACGCGUAGGGACCUGUCGAGGGGUGGGGGAUAACCGCGGGAAACUGCGGCUAAUACCGCAUGACGCCGCGGCGUGACAGCCGGGGCCAAAGGCGAAAGCCGCCCGCCGAGGGGCCUGCGUCCGAUUAGCUGGUUGGCGGGGUAGCGGCCCACCAAGGCGUCGAUCGGUAGCUGGUCUGAGAGGGUGAUCAGCCACACCGGGAAUGGAGACACGCCCCGACCCCCUACGGGAGCAAGAAGUGGGGAUAAUUGGACAUGGGCGCCAGGCCUGUCCAGCCACUGCGGGGUGGGUAAGGAAGGCUUUGGAUUGGUAAGCCCUUUCGGCGGGGACGAUGGUGACGGUACCCGCAGAAGAAGCCCCGGCUAACUUCGUG
rnacentral:rRNA from 1 species